UGGUGAGCAGCACAGAAGUGAAUGUAGUUAGAUGUAACUUGACGAAAUCACACAUUUGGAUGUCGGACGAUUUGCAUUGGGAGGUUAGUGCUUUGCAUGUGUACUCGCUGUCUGGGAACAGAUCAGAAGUGGAUAAGUUAUGCAGACGUGACAGAUGUCUCUACUGCAGCACAGGAGGCAGGAGAGAGGGAGGGAGAACGAACAAGAGAGAAAACAGCCAUCCAAUCAGUUUUUGAUUAAAAAGAAGAGUGAACAGAGUGCCAUUGCCAGUCCCUGGGUGAAACAAAAUCUACAGAAGCAUAUUUUGAAGAGGCUGGACAAAGCUACAGUUACAACUGAAAGUUACCUCAGAGAGCCAAGUCAGGAUCCACACCAUUUCCAAUGUGUAUCCAGUAUACCUGAUUCUUACAAUUCUGAGGAGGACAAUCAAUUACGAAGAAUAGUCUCAGAGCCAGUUCUGAAGUUGCGGCCAAAGAGAAGUGUGCUGGGCAGACAGAACCCACUGCAGCAUAAAACAAGUGUGCCCCCUACUGCCCGAGUAUCUGACGCCAUGGGUGCUUCUCCCAGCUCUGUUUCAGUGUCCAUGGGGAGUUCAACACCAGACAAACAAUUGAAUAUCCUUCUAGAUCAACAGACCUAUGGCGCACCAAUUUCAAAAGAGGCAGAAUCUCCUUCGCACAUUGGCGUCCAGAACGCCUUCCUUUUGCAUAGUGUGCCACAAGUUUGGGCUGCCUCCCCUCAUCUGCAGCAACAUCCCCAUGUUCUUGCAGUGCAUCCACAUGUUCUUGCAGUUCCUGUGCCAUGUGCAGUGAUGCCCCAUAGGCCUUUGGCCAAAAGCCAUUCAGCACCUUUUAUCCAGCAAAACACACACAUACAUGGACAGAGUCUUACAUUUACACAACUUUCAUACCAACAGCCCAACUCCUUGUCACAGGAGAGAAGCCAGCAACACACUCUUCCAAAAAAGGUGCUUGUUCGCAAAGUGUGGUCCAUGUCUCCUGAAGAGUUGCGUGAAAAGAAGAGCGUUGAGGAAGAGAAUGCAAAAAAAAUGCAUGAAUCACCAUUUGACAGCAAUUGCAGUAAUCGACUGGGAGCACAGAGCCUCAGAGAUCAUAAUGACCAGCCAAACACAAUGACUCACCUGAACCUUAAGCGUGUUUAUUCCUCUCCAGGCUACUACACUUAUCAAAGAACUCAGCCCUCGUGCUUAACCUCAUCUCUGUCCCGUCGGAGUAUCAGGAACAAACCAAACUGCACCACGGGCUUGGUGUAUGAGUGUGACUGUGGAGACAACAGCCAUCACCCUGAGCAUGCUGACAGAAUUAAGAGUAUCUGGUCAAGAUUGCAAGAGUGUGGCCUCAAGAAUCAGUGUGAGAGGGUUAAGUGCAGAUUUGCCACUUUUAAUGAACUACAAUCAGUCCAUUCAGAGAAACAUGGUAUUCUUUUCUCUGAGCUCUCAGAAACACAUUUGCCCAACCACAGGGAUGUGUUUUGGACACAACCAUGUGGAGGAAUGGGGAGGGAUCUUGAUAUGGUAUGGAAUAGCAUCUCCAGCAUAACAGCACUUAAUAUGGCAGUUGGCAGUGUGAUUGAGCUGGCCCUGCGUGUGGCUAAGCGAGAAUUAAGGAAUGGGUUUGCUGUGGUCAGGCCUCAAGGACAUCAUGCACCACACUCUCAGGCACAUGACUUUAGUAUCUUUAACUCUGUGGCCAUUGCUGCUAAACAGCUUCAGGACAGAUUGAACGUUAAAAAGAUCCUUAUAGUGGAUUGGGAUGUUCAUCAUGGUAAUGGAACUGAGAAAAUGUUUGAAACAGAUCCUCGUGUCCUUUAUAUAUCGCUGCAUCGCUAUGACAAUGGCUCUUUCUUCCCUGGUACUGGAGGACCCCUCAUGGUAGGAUCUGAUGUAGGUGAAGGCUACAACGUAAAUGUGGCCUGGUCAGGAGGGCUGAAUCCUCCAAUGGGAGAUGCAGAAUACCUAGCUGCUUUCAGAACAGUAGUUAUGCCAAUUGCUCAUGAGUUUUCUCCUGAUGUGGUCCUGGUUUCAGCUGGUUUUGAUGCUGUUGAGGGUCACCCAGCUGCUGUGGGUGGAUACAAUGUCUCAGCUAAAUGUUUUGGAGUCCUGACCCAGAAGUUAAUGGAGUUGGCUGAAGGUCGUGUAGUGUUGGUGUUAGAGGGAGGUUAUGAUCUCUCUGCUCUCUGUGAUGCAUCCCAGGCCUGUGUCAAUGCUCUUGUGGGAAAUGAGCCUGAACCUCUAGCUUUAGAAGAAUUACAGAGGAUACCCUGUCCUAAUGCGGUUGACUCUUUGAAGACAGUACUGCGUGUACAGAGCCGGUACUGGAGUUCAGUGAGGGCUAUGCUAGACACAGUGUCACUGCCAUAUGUAAAAGCAGAGAGGAGAUACUCAGCGGGCAGUGACGCUGCUUCAGCCCUGAAUGACCUCACUAUGACUGUUUCAAGCAGAAGCCGUUUCCCAAAUGAGCCAACAGAGCAUGAUGAAGAUGAUUUCAUGUAGGAGCCAGACACUGUUUCUCCUCAUUCUACGCUGGAAGACUUCAUAUUCCAUUCCGAACAGAGAACGGACAACCAGUGCUAUAGAGUCCUGAAGUUAAUAGCGUAAAUGCGGUGUUGUGUAUAGGACAGGAGACAAUCCAUAACAACUGUAGUCAAAGAAGUAGACAUAACACACUCUCUGAUGAACAAGAGAGCUUCAAUGUCAUGUCACAUGUAAUCAAAUCUCGUGAGUUAUGUUAGUCAAACGCUGAGUCAUUUUUGCUAAACGGACAGGAUUUUGCCAUUUUAGCUUAAGUUGCACAUGAACCCUAAAGGCAAUUUCAAGCAAGGAUAUCAUGUAGAAAGGAAGUGAAAAUUUGUGAGGCAUUAAGUGAAAUGUUUUGUCCCACACAGGUCUUUUCCAAACUGACAGUUAAAAAAAGUACUUCUGUUACUCUGAGAUACUGUUAGUUUUCUAUUCUAGCAGUCUUUGAAAGUAUUAAUCAGUCCACGAUGCUUUAAAAUGGUCUUAAAAAUAUAUAUAAUUAAGUUUUUGUUAAUUGCACUUUACAUUCAUUAAUCAUUACAAAAAUCCUGAGAGUUUUUACAUUGUGGUUAAGCUCAGUUUUAUUGUCAAAUAUUUUUAAAGAUUCUCCAUCCAGGCUUUCUUAAAUCAAAACAUGUUCUGAAACUGCUGUUGUUAAAACAUUGAUGGCUUUUCCUGAAAUAAUUAAGGAUGCUAUCAAUGUAAGUUAUCAAUCCUUUGAGCGCAAAGUACUUUGCACUCUGCUACAGUAUGUCAAUUUAAAAGGCCAGGUAGUCCUUGACUUACAGUACCUGUCAAAAGUUUGGAAAUAUUGUACUGAUUGCAUAUUUCUCUUGUUCUUGAAAACCAUUUGCACUUUCGUUGUGUCUAUGUAUACAUUUCUUUACUAAACAAGAUUUUAAAUGUAAGAAAAUAAAAUAUUUUUAAAUGCAUGCGUUGGACCUAAAAAUAAAGGACAAGCAGUCAACAAGUUUCCAGCAUACAUAGGAAAUGUUGUUUCAGUUUUGAUAACUGUAAUAAUUUUCUCAAAUGUGGGAAAUAGUCAAAAAUAAAGAAUGAGUAGGCAUGUCCAAACAUUUUUGGGACUGUAUCUUAGGUCACUCACAUAAUAAGGGUUUUCAUUUUCUUUUAUUAACGUUAAUUGUUGAGCUACAAAAACAGUUUAAAGCUAUUUUUUGUGUGUGAAAUGUUAUUAACAUACAAAGAAUUCCUCUUGUUUGUUACAUAAUAUUUUUAAUAUAUCAUUCAAAAGUUUUUAAAUGUUUUUACAUUGUCAGUUCCUUUUACUGUUCAGGAUUAAAAUAAAGCCAUGUUGUUACUUUUUCAAACAUUUUAUUGAAAUCAAAUCAACAGUGAUGUGUAACAAUGUGUCUGAAGAGUCCCAAAGGGAAUACUGGACUCCCAUAUAAGCUUCAGAAGACAUGAAGUGCAUCCCAAACCACUCACUUCUGCACUAAUCUACAUCCUUUUGUAGUGUUAGUAGUGCGAGGAGUAUGUUAACAUUGAAAAUGCACAAAAAGAAGUUUCCUAUGAGCACCCGGAUGAUGUACUUCUUCAACAGUCAAAACAAAGUGUGGAAUGUUGGACACUUAAUACACUCAGUGUUUGCGGCUUGCCUUACGUAGUGGAAGGGGCGGAGUUACCUGGUUGCAAAGCUGGUCUGAAAACACAUUUGUAAAUAAUGGAGAAUGUAGCAACCAGCGAAACUUAAGUGAAGACAACACCUUACAAAUGUGAGUUGAAUGCUUUACCAUCACACCACACUGUGUGAAUAUGAACGUUGUUUGAGAUACAAGUGUUAAACUGAGGUUAGCUAACGCACUAAAGCUAGUGUUAAAACAUUGAAUGCGUUUGAAAUGUUACUUCCUUCAGCUGUUAAUUGGCGAAUGCUUUAGUGUAGUAAAAAAAACGUGCGAUCCAUUUGAUCGAGUGCGUAGUGUAUAUUGUAAGUGCAAUUUUUGACCAGUGUUACACAAGUUACUCAAAAUAAGUAAUCCACUACAAGUUACUUGUAUACAAAUGUAAUCAGAUUACUUUAAUGUUACUUCAUAUAAAAGUAAUCACAUUACUAAUUAUUUUACUUUUAAGUUACUUUCUAAAUCUCUUUUCCUAAAAAGUUAUUGGUUUUUCACUCAAAAUCAAAAUAUCUAUAUUUCCUUCUCAUUCAUUGUCACACCCUUCAGCUGUCACAGAAACACUAACAGACGUACAUAUGAUUUCAUAUUUGAAAUGUACUAAACAAUAAACAUUACUUUAGCACAAGUAAUUUACUUAAACGUAAUUACUUUCAUUGAAAGUCAGUAACUGUAAUCAGAUUACAAGAAUUUAAAAUGUAAUGUAUUACAUUACUUUUCUUGACUAAAAAGUAAUUAGAGUACAGUACAGUAACUAAUUACUUUGUCAUUGAAUACACCAACACUGUUUGGGACACAAUCGAGUUUUUCAUGCUGCCUUUAUGUUCUUUUUGGAGCUUGAAGGUUUUGGGAACAAAAACACCUCAUGCAUCCUUCAAAUUAUCUUUGUUUGUGUUCCAGAGAAGAAAGAAAGUCAUACGAGUUUGAGUCAGCAUGAGGUUGAAUGGAUAAGAGAAUUUCAAUUUUUUGGGUGAACUAUUUCUUUAAAUAAUCUCUGCUUAAAAACAAAGACUUCUUGAGACACUCAGCAAAAUAGA